rnacentral:tRNA from 1 species
AGAGUUGUAGCUCAGUGGUAGAGCAUUUGCCUCGCAUGCAUGAGGCACUGGGUUCGAACCUCAGAACCUCAU